rnacentral:rRNA from 1 species
AUCGGCGAGGUUACUUUGAGUAAAUUAGAGUGUUCAAAGCAAGCCUACGCUCUGAAUACAUUAGCAUGGAAUAACACGAUAGGACUCUGGCUUAUCUUGUUGGUCUGUAAGACCGGAGUAAUGAUUAAGAGGGACAGUCGGGGGCAUUCGUAUUUCAUUGUCA